rnacentral:rRNA from 1 species
CUGGCUCAGAUUGAACGCUGGCGGCAUGCCUUACACAUGCAAGUCGAACGGCAGCACGGGGGCAACCCUGGUGGCGAGUGGCGAACGGGUGAGUAAUACAUCGGAACGUGUCCUGGAGUGGGGGAUAGCCCGGCGAAAGCCGGAUUAAUACCGCAUACGCUCUGAGGAGGAAAGCGGGGGAUCUUCGGACCUCGCGCUGCAGGGGCGGCCGAUGGCAGAUUAGCUAGUUGGUGGGGUAAAGGCCUACCAAGGCGACGAUCUGUAGCUGGUCUGAGAGGACGACCAGCCACACUGGGACUGAGACACGGCCCAGACUCCUACGGGAGGCAGCAGUGGGGAAUUUUGGACAAUGGGGGAAACCCUGAUCCAGCAAUGCCGCGUGUGUGAAGAAGGCCUUCGGGUUGUAAAGCACUUUUGUCCGGAAAGAAAACCUCCUGGUUAAUACCUGGGGGGGAUGACGGUACCGGAAGAAUAAGCACCGGCUAACUACGUGCCAGCAGCCGCGGUAAUACGUAGGGUGCAAGCGUUAAUCGGAAUUACUGGGCGUAAAGCGUGCGCAGGCGGUUCGCUAAGACAGAUGUGAAAUCCCCGGGCUUAACCUGGGAACUGCAUUUGUGACUGGCGGGCUAGAGUAUGGCAGA